rnacentral:tRNA from 1 species
GCCUGGCUGGCUCAGUCAGUGGAGCAUGUGACUCCUGAUCUCAGGGUCAUGGGUUCAAGCCCCAUGUUUGGUG